AUUGAACGCUGGCGGCAUGCCUUACACAUGCAAGUCGAACGGCAGCACGGGUGCUUGCACCUGGUGGCGAGUGGCGAACGGGUGAGUAAUAUAUCGGAACGUACCUUAUUGUGGGGGAUAACGCAGCGAAAGCUGUGCUAAUACCGCAUAAUCCCUAAGGGGGAAAGCGGGGGACCGUAAGGCCUCGCGCAAUUAGAGCGGCCGAUACCUGAUUAGCUAGUUGGUGAGGUAAAGGCUCACCAAGGCAACGAUCAGUAGCUGGUCUGAGAGGACGAUCCGCCACACUGGGACUGAGACACGGCCCAGACUCCUACGGGAGGCAGCAGUGGGGAAUUUUAGACAAUGGGGGCAACCCUGAUCCAGCAAUGCCGCGUGAGUGAAGAAGGCCUUCGGGUUGUAAAGCUCUUUUGUCAGGGAAGAAACAGCAGCUCUAACACAGUUUGCGAAUGACGGUACCUGAAGAAUAAGCACCGGCUAACUACGUGCCAGCCGCCGCAGUAA
rnacentral:rRNA from 1 species